rnacentral:rRNA from 1 species
CGGCGGACGGGUGAGUAAAGCUUAGGAAUCUGCCUAUUAGUGGGGGACAACAUUCCGAAAGGGAUGCUAAUACCGCAUACGUCCUACGGGAGAAAGCAGGGGAUCACUUGUGACCUUGCGCUAAUAGAUGAGCCUAAGUCGGAUUAGCUAGUUGGUGGGGUAAAGGCCUACCAAGGCGACGAUCUGUAGCGGGUCUGAGAGGAUGAUCCGCCACACUGGGACUGAGACACGGCCCAGACUCCUACGGGAGGCAGCAGUGGGGAAUAUUGGACAAUGGGGGGAACCCUGAUCCAGCCAUGCCGCGUGUGUGAAGAAGGCCUUUUGGUUGUAAGGCACUUUAAGCGAGGAGGAGGCUUACCUGGUUAAUACCUGGGCUAAGUGGACGUUACUCGCAGAAUAAGCACCGGCUAACUCUGUGCCAGCAGCCGCGGUAAUACAGAGGGUGCGAGCGUUAAUCGGAUUUACUGGGCGUAAAGCGCGCGUAGGUGGUUAAUUAAGUCAAAUGUGAAAUCCCCGAGCUUAACUUGGGAAUUGCAUUCGAUACUGGUUAGCUAGAGUAUGGGAGAGGAUGGUAGAAUUCCAGGUGUAGCGGUGAAAUGCGUAGAGAUCUGGAGGAAUACCGAUGGCGAAGGCAGCCAUCUGGCCUAAUACUGACACUGAGGUGCGAAAGCAUGGGGAGCAAACAGGAUUAGAUACCCUGGUAGUCCAUGCCGUAAACGAUGUCUACUAGCCGUUGGGGGAUUUGAUCCUUUAGUGGCGCAGCUAACGCGAUAAGUAGACCGCCUGGGGAGUACGGUCGCAAGACUAAAACUCAAAUGAAUUGACGGGGGCCCGCACAAGCGGUGGAGCAUGUGGUUUAAUUCGAUGCAACGCGAGAACCUUACCUGGCCCUUGA